rnacentral:rRNA from 1 species
UACGAAGGGGGCUAGCGUUGCUCGGAAUUACUGGGCGUAAAGGGCGCGUAGGCGGAUAGUUCAGUCGGGGGUGAAAGCCCGGGGCUCAACCUCGGAACUGCCUUCGAUACUGGCUAUCUUGAGUACGGGAGAGGUGUGUGGAACUCCGAGUGUAGAGGUGAAAUUCGUAGAUAUUCGCAAGAACACCAGUGGCGAAGGCGAGUCCCUGGACAACACCUGACACUGAGGCACGAAAGCUAGGGGAGCAAACAGG